CCUCAGUAACGGCGAGUGAAGCGGCAACGGCUCAGAAUUGAAAUCCGGCCCCCGGGCCCGAGUUGUAAACUGCGGAGGAUGCUUCUGGCGACGCGCCUGCCGAGUUCCCUGGAACGGGACGCCUCAGAGGGUGAGAGCCCCGUACGGCCGGACGCGGAGCCUGUGUGAAGCUCCCUUGACGAGUCGAGUAGUUUGGGAAUGCUGCUCUAAAUUGGAGGUAAAUUUCUUCUAAAGCUAAAUACCGGCCAGAGACCGAUAGCGCACAAGUAGAGUGAUCGAAAGAUGAAAAGCACUUUGGAAAGAGGGUGAAACAGUACGUGAAAUUGUUGAAAGGGAAGCGCUUGUGGCCAGACUCGCGCCUGGCGGAUCAUCCGGCCUCGGCCGGUGCACUCCGCCGGCGCGGGCCAGCACCGGUUCGCGGCGGGGGAGAAAGGCGGCGGGAACGUGGCUCCCAGGAGUGUUACAGCCCGCCGCGCAAUGCCCCGCGGCGGACCGAGGUUCGCGCUCACGCAAGGGUGCUGGCGUAAUGGCCAUCAUCGGCCCGUCUUGAAACACNGACCAAGGAGUCGUCCUCGUAUGCGAGUGUUUUGGGUGCAAAACCCCGGCGCGUAAUGAAAGUGAAUGCAGGUGGGAGCUUAAGCGCACCAUCNAGACCGAUCCCGAAGUACUCGGACGGAUUUGAGUAGGAGCAUGCGGGGCCGGACCCGAAAGAAGGUGAACUAUGCGUGUAUAGGGUGAAGCCAGAGGAAACUCUGGUGGAGGCUCGCAGCGGUUCUGACGUGCAAAUCGAUCGUCAAAUAUGCGCAUGGGGGCGAAAGACUAAUCGAACCUUCUAGUAGCUGGUUUCCGCCGAAGUUUCCCUCAGGAUAGCAGUGUCGGACUCAGUUUUAUGAGGUAAAGCGAAUGAUUAGGGACUCGGGGGCGCUAUAUUGCCUUCAUCCAUUCUCAAACUUUAAAUAUGUAAG
rnacentral:rRNA from 1 species